UAAUGUCUCAUUUGCAUAUCUACACAUAACAUUUGAGAAAACGUAAUCCAAAAAAUAAUUGUCUUAAUGUAAGUAAUCAACUGGGUGUUUCAUGGUGAUAUCUAUAUAUGUAAUGUCUUCA